UGCCAACACACAAACACAGCAGGCGCUUCUUGUGUGGAAAAACAGGAAUGGAGUGAGGAAGAGUGUGUGAGGAAGAGGCGGAAGAGGAACUGGGAGUGAACGGUAGAGACACUCUUUCCUCUCCUGGCAGAUUUUGUAACAGCGCUCCACUAUCAACUUUCUCUCCUUGGAUAUGAACUUUUCUCUUGAACUGAUUGACCUCCAUGUGAUUUCUUGACCUCAACUUUCAGAUGUGAUUUCAGUUUCAACACGUGUGUAUUUUUGUCGCCAUUUAACUGGACAGCAAAGAUUUCUCAAACUGUUUCCCUGACACCCUGACUAAGUGAGGAGGGUAUUUCCAGAAUCUGAGACACAGAGUCGGUCUCUUGCUCUCUAACAGCUUCAUGCUAAACUUACACAACAACUAAAGUAGGGGGAAAUGAAAUGCAGUGUCAUGUGUAAAGCUAUUUGAGAAAUAUUUAUUAACUACCAUUAAUAAUUGUUGAAUUUUUACUCAUCCUGAGGACUUCCAACAUCUGAAGAUCAGCCUGCUCUUCCUGCAGGACUCUUUGGUUGUUGGUGCUUUUCUUAAAGUUUCCUAACUGGAUUUUUGGAAAACAACAGAGAACUGGAUCAAUGAGAAACAAAUGCAUUUCCAACCACGUGUGCAAGCAGAAAGACCCGAUCUGAAGAAGGAACAUCAACUGCCUCCAACUAUUUAAUGACUCUUUAAUUGGAAACUAACCGCCAGCAGACCAAACACACAAAGCUUAUCAGCAGAUGGAGAGGAAGGAGGAGGUGAAAUGUGGUGCAGCGGCCAUGUCUCUGCCCGGGGAGCUGGUUUGCCUGCAGGGUGGAGGGGCAGCAGAGGGGGAUUCAGGACUGUCCUCACUGGAGAAACAGCUAAUCUGCCCCAUCUGUCUGCAGCUUUUCACCAAACCCGUGGUGAUCCUGCCCUGCCAACAUAACCUUUGCAGGAAGUGUGCCAACGAGCUGUACCAGCCCUCUCUGUUCAGCCCUCGUACCACCAUGCAGGUGAGCAGCGGGCGUUUCCGUUGUCCGUCCUGCACACAGGAAGUGAUUCUGGAUCGGCACGGGGUCUACGGCCUGCAGAGAAACCUGCUGGUGGAGAACAUCAUCGACGUCUACAAACAGGAACUCAGCAACAACAGCAACGCCACAAGCUCCCUCCCCUCUCCUCCCCCGGCUCCUUCUGAUCAGGUGACCUGUUCGGACCAUGAGGGGGAGAAAGUGAACAUCUUCUGUCUCACCUGUCAGGUUCCCACCUGCUCGCUGUGUAAAGUGUUCGGGGCUCAUCAGGCCUGUCAGGUGGCUCCUCUCACUGAUGUCUGCCAGCAGAAGAAGGAUGAGCUGAGUGAGGCAGUCAGUUCUCUGGUGGCCUUCAGCGACAAAGUCCAGGGUUUAAUCAAUAAGCUGGAAGAGUCCUGCAGGAUCAUAGAGGAGAAUAGUAAGGCUCAGAAACAGAGUGUGUGUGAGAAGUUCAACCGAGUGAAUUCAAUCCUGGAGGAGAGACGAAAGGUGAUGAUGCAGCGAAUCAGCUCGGAGCAGGAAGAGAAAACAGGCCACGCCAAGGCGCUGAUGCGUUGCUAUGGAGACAGCGUGGAAGCCAACAGCAAACUGAUGGAAAGAGCAACGAGCAGCAUGGAGGAGCCGGAUAUGGCCGCCUUCGUUAAGAAUUCAAGGGAGCUGAUCACAAAAGUGAUAACAGCGAGCAGCUCCUUUCCAUCAGAGAAACUGAAACCAGGUUUUGAGAGUUUGAGUCAUUACACGUUUAACUUCAGUCGACAGGAGACAUCUGUGAAGAGCAUCGACUUUUUCAAAGUUGUUGAAGAUGUUCCUGAAGAACCGAAGGUGGAACCAGAACCUGAGCUCAUUGUCCAGAAAGUGGAACCAAAGCACCAUCAGGAAACCUCCACCAGCAUCCUGCAGCCUGUUUUAAAACCAGUUGAAGAGCCGAUCGCAGCACUGAACCCUCCUCCAGAGGAAGCAGGUCUGUUGAGGGCCUCUGAAGAGCCUGCAAGAGGGGUCCUGCAGACGGAGACUGACGACCCGGGAUUAAAUGAGGCGGGAUCGGGUCUGAUGAAAGACAAAACUGAGGAGGAGAAAGAGGAGGCUCCUCAUCGAGUUAAGGAGGGAAACAUCUGUGAAGAGCAUGAGGGGAUGAGCACACUACAGUGUGGGACAAUAAGUGAUGGGACAGCUGAGUGUGACACAGAGGACAAACAUAAAGCUCAGGAUGAAGAAAAAGAAGAUAUGCAGACGAUGAAGGAGGAAAUUGACACUACAUCUUACCCCGGCUGGUACAAACCCAACAGCUGGUCAAAUGUAAACCUCUACCCCGGCCCUGCAGAUGUCCUGCCAGAUGUUUGUGAUGCAAAGCAAUGUUCAGCUUCAGAGGAUGGGAUCCAGACUGAGGCGGCAGGGGCAACCAAAGCUGUGUCUGAGCCUCAACAGCAACAAUCUACUUGGGGUCUGGAAACACAAGAGCAGUUUUACCUCAAACAACCUGCACCUGCAUCACAAGAAAUCACACUUUCCAUGGAGAUGCAGCCACAGCGUCAUUGGCCACAAGAGGAGACAGAAAAUCAAGAAUUGUCUUCUUUUCAGUCUCCGCUCCAGGAGUUACUAACAAGGCAGACAGCAGGAGAAUCCAAUACCACAGAGGAGGGAAAUGUGGAAGAACCCAGGGUGGGAAAUGAGGAGCAAAAUGAGGAAGAGGAGGACAUAAAGGGCUGGGUGCGCCUACCUAAGGCUAUGGAUAAAAGCAGCCAAGUAGCUGCAGGUUUUGAUAGUGGAGAUGUGUUUUCUGAUAAUAAUAAUAGUCUGUCUGAUUCUGAGGUUGAUGUAGGUAGUUUAGAGAUGGAUAAAGACAACUUUGAACUCAGUGAUAAAAGGGUAGAGGAUGCAGAAAAACAGGAGCAAUAUGAGGGUAAACCAGAUCUAGAAAUAGCUUUGGAGCUGACAGGAAGAGAGGGGGAUUUUGUUUCUGAGUUGAUGCAUGAAAGGCUGGAAGAAGGAAACGUAUGGUCUGAUGAAAGGAAAAUGACAAAAAGCAUGACAGAGGGAGGUGGAGAUGCAGAGUUUGAUACGGGAGGUUUAGGAGAAAGGAAGGAUGGCAAAAGCAGCGAGCAGCCAGAAGACUUGAAGACUGAAAGUGAGGAGAAAAUAUCUUCCUUUGCCUCUCUCCAGGUCAGUGUCUUCAUCAUCUACCGGGCUUUUGCUCUCUUCAUCAAACUGCUGGUGUGGCUGCAGCUCCACACUGUCUUCUUUUCCCUUCUUCUCGGUUGCUCUGCUUUAUAUAUUUUGCAGAGUUUGCUGCUUUGCUGAAACUUCUUCUCCACUUUGGUCUGUCUGUCAUUGUCAUGCUGGAAAAAAACAGGGAGAACAGGAAGGAUGAAGGAAGGGCAUACUUCUUUAGAAAUAUGUAUUUUACCCCCUAAUUGAACUACAUUUUGACCACCAGUUUCACCUCUACAGUUAACAGUAUUCUUACAAAUAUUGAUAGCAGUGUUGUUGAAAGAUAUUCCAAAGAAAUGUCAUAAUUUAAACAUUUCUAUCAGCAUUCAAAAACCGCGAGUAAGACGAUUGUUUACUAAAAUAAAAGAACAAGGGAAGAAAUGCAAUUAAAUCGUCUGUAUUAUCAACAAAAAAGGCAAUAAUAAAAUAACUGUUUCUGCAGAAAAAUGGCCCAAUAGUAGUAAUAAUAAUAAUAAUAAUAAUAAUAAUAAUAAUAAUAAUAAUAAUAGUAAUAAUAAUAAUAAUAGUAAUAAUAAUAAUAAUAAUAAUAAUAAUAAUAAUAAUAAUAGUAAUAAUAAUAAUAAUAAUAAUAAUAAUAAUAAUAAUAAUAAUAAUAAUAAUAAUAAUAAUAAUAAUAAUAAUAAUAAUAAUAAUAGUGUUUUAUUCAUAUAGGACAUUUCAAAAACAUGUUAGAAGGUGCUUUAAAAACUAAUAUAAUAUCUGUAUAAGUUUUCUUUGAAAAAUCACAAUUUAUAAAUGAAUUAAUGCUGUAAGAUGAUUAAUUAAAAGAAAAAUAGGUUCCCUCUAAAUAAAGUAAAAGUGUGAACUGAAUUUGCUUGAAUAAAUGAAAAUGACCUUGAAUUUGAACUUGAAUAAUAUCUAAGUGUAAGUCAUUUCAUCGAACAGCUGGAUGCAGUUAUUUCCUUCCUCCUUUCUUCUCCACAUUAAAGUAUUUCUGUUGCAGCAUCAUCAUCGCCAUCUCUCUCUUCUCGUGUCGCUGCUGUUUUUAUCUGAUUAUUUAACUUUAUUUUCCAUCUUUCUCUCCCUCCCUCCCUCCCUCUCUCUGUCAUCCUUCCUCCAUCUUCCAGGCUGUCACUCUGCUCUUCUACCUGCUGGCCUUCCUGGUCAUCCUGCAGAGGGUUUGGGCUUACGUUGGCUUCUUCAUUUGCACAUAACACCAGCAGAAGACACAUCCUCCCUCACAGCUGCUCAGUUCAGAUGGAGACUGAGACAGGAAGUCCUGCUCACACUGGUCCUCCUCUUGUUCCUCUUUCGCCCUCAACGAGGCUCCUCAUCGACCCAGCUCCAGCUUCUCCUGGCUGAAGACCCUCCACAAAAAGAAUGAGAGGAGAGAGAGAAGCUUUUCUCUAGAGGAGAGGUUGUGUUGAGGAAUGGAAGAAAGGAAGAAAGAAUGACAGAAAGAAAGAGAAAGGCACUCAAAGACUGAAUGCAUACUUGGACUUCAGAGUUGCAGUGGUUUUCAGCAAUCUGCUGUUUUCUUUCUUUUUAAUAGAAUAAAAGGAAUAUAUCUGCUCUAGGUUUGUGUGCCUAUAGGAGAAAACACUGAUUUGGUUGGGCUCUUGCGAAAACGGUUGAAAUGAAAAAGAUGUUGCCCCUUCACAACAGAGCUCUUCACAACUUUCAAGAUUGAGUUUUAAUUAUCAUUAGCAGAGGAGUACUAAGAUCCAAAGACUAAGUUGAAGUUUGGUAUUCAUGAUUGUAUUGUAGUAAACUAGCUAGGGUUACUCAAGUACUGCUUAAGUUGACAGGCGAUGUGUGCCUGAGGUCAGAAAUGGGGAAAGAAUAGUUGUUAAUGUAAGAGAAGAAGUUUCAACAGUGGUGAUUUUUUAAAUUAAGUUUAAAGAAAGUCCAACUUGCACCACUCAAAGUGUGUGCUUUUGUAUGUCACAUGUCAUUCAGUGUGGUUUGGUAUCUGUUUUCUGAUUUAUUUGCAGCAGGUUUUAUUUGUAUUGUAUUGUAUCCGUGUGUCUGAGCACUUUUUCCUUCGGAGUGUUUGAUGUUUUGUAAGCUGGGGUGUUUUGCAUAAUGCAAGACACAGUGGUUCAGAUGUUUGUAAAGUUGCAAUAAAUCAGAUUCAACUCCAGGA